GUUUCUAUGGUUGAAGUAACAACGACGGCUUUUCAGGCCGUAGGUCUUGGAGAAAAGCCAAGUAGGAACCU